ensembl:snoRNA
ACUGCCCCGUGGACACAUAAAUGCAACUGCAGUAUUGUCUUUAUGCCAGAGGGGGGCAGAGAGGAAGCAUUGGCCGCUUUGAGUCUAUAUCUUUAAUGAGUGGCUAAACAAU